AUUGAACGCUGGCGGCAUGCCUUACACAUGCAAGUCGAACGGCAGCACGGGAGCAAUCCUGGUGGCGAGUGGCGAACGGGUGAGUAAUAUAUCGGAACGUGCCCAGUAAUGGGGGAUAGCCCGGCGAAAGCCGGAUUAAUACCGCAUACGACCUACGGGUGAAAGCGGGGGAUCGCAAGACCUCGCGUUAUUGGAGCGGCCGAUAUCAGAUUAGCUUGUUGGCGGGGUAAAAGCCCACCAAGGCGACGAUCUGUAGCUGGUCUGAGAGGACGACCAGCCACACUGGGACUGAGACACGGCCCAGACUCCUACGGGAGGCAGCAGUGGGGAAUUUUGGACAAUGGGCGCAAGCCUGAUCCAGCCAUGCCGCGUGUGGGAAGAAGGCCUCGGUGUAACACUUUGUCAGGGAAGGAAACGGACGUCUUACUAAUAUUAGUAGCUAAUGACGGUACC
rnacentral:rRNA from 1 species